UUAUAGUAACAUAAUAAUCAGAAAACACAAAAAACAAGUUAAGUAGAAAAGUAAGAGGUUUUUGAGAAAGUUCGUCGUGGAGUCAUAAUUUAUGACAUAUGUCAUAAUUUAUGACAUAGAGUGAUUAAAUUUAAGAAAAAAUAUAUUUUUGAGAAGGUUCGUCGUGGAGUCUAAAAUGGGUAUAGAAAAGAAGGACAGAGCAAAAAAUACAGUGAGUGGUGUAGUAACAAAGGAAGCAAGAGAUAAGAAAAAAAUAGAGAAAAAUGAAAGAAGUGAUAAAAAAAUAAAAGUAAGGGUUUCGAAAGACAAUGCUACCCUUUCAUGUGUAAUACUAAUAUAGCUAGCUAGUUGGCCAACACAUGGAUGGAACCACCACUACAUCCCAAUUCUGAAAGCUUUACACGCUUUUAACACUCUCUAGAAAAGUGGUGUUCUUUUCUUUCUCUGAGGACUCCUAGCUUUUCCUUUUUCCCAUUCUCUUCUUAAAUCCAUGGACACAGCUCAGUGGGCACAGGAAGGACAGCAAUGCCAAAGAGCUACUGAAGAGAGUGAAGGUGAGCCUUGUUUUAAAUUUAAAAUACUUCAUACAAUCAUUUGGGUGUUAUACAUGCACAGACUAAACUUGAUUUUGCUUUGCAGGCUUACAGAGUCACCAAGUAAUUUGCUGAUUAAAAGACUUCAGGCUAAUUCUAUCUUUUGCCAAGCAGCCAUAUAGUUUUCGUGUUAUGGAGUGAUGCACUUUUGNACGUGUAACAUGUGGCAGAGUCGUUCUCUUUAGAAUGAGUAACGUUAUUUUUGUUCGUGUAUUUCAUUUACUUGAAAUAUAGAUAUAAUGUGUUAAUUUAAUAUUUGUGCUUUCUUAUGCAA